AUGGUACCAAUUAGAGCCAUGACAGAGUCGCUCGCGGUUAUAGGUUGGAACAUCAUGGGCUGUCGGAGUUGUUGGUGGAUCGUAGUUGAUAUUGUCGGCGAGACGGUGACUCGUUUGAGCUUGGCAGCGUGGGUUGAAGCCGAAUGCGCGUUAGUAUUGUUGAAAAGUCAAGAUAUAAGGUGUAAAAAAAAGGUGUGGAAAUUGUGUAAAAAAUAUGUACCGUGUGUGAAUCAUGUAUGUGAGUUUGUGUGUGUUUGGAACAAGGAUUAG